GUUUUGCAUGCCACAGUUAAUGAUGCAAAUGUUGUGCCUUUUGUCAGCGGUCAAUUAAACAACCUUGAGCUCGUGGUAAAUCUUGCCAAGAGGGCUAAUCUUCCUGGUGCUGAGAAUUUGGUUGUCCAAAGAUUUCAGGAAUUGUUUGCACAGACAAAAUACAAGGAAGUAGCAGAGCUGGCUGCGGAAUCUCCCUAGGGCCUGCUGAGGACGCCUGAGACCGUAGCGAAA